GAUGAAGAACGUAGCGAAAUGCGAUAAGUAAUGCGAAUUGCAGAAUUUCCGUGAGUCAUCGAAUCUUUGAACGCACAUUGCGCCCCCUGGUAUUCCGGGGGGCAUGCCUGUCCGAGCGUCAUUGCUGCCCUCAAGCCCGGCUUGUGUGUUGGGUCUCGUCCCCCUUCCCGGGGGGACGGGCCCGAAAGGCAGCGGCGGCACCGCGUCCGGUCCUCGAGCGUAUGGGGCUUUGUCACCCGCUCUGUAGGCCCGGCCGGCGCUUGCCGAUCAACCAAAACUUUUUUCCAGGUUGACCUCGGAUCAGGUAGGGAUACCCGCUGAACUUAAGCAUAUCAAUAAGCGGAGGA
rnacentral:misc_RNA from 1 species